rnacentral:rRNA from 1 species
UCAAGUGAAGAAGCGCAUACGGUGGAUGCCUUGGCAGUCAGAGGCGAUGAAAGACGUGGUAGCCUGCGAUAAGCUUUGGGGAGUCGGCAAACAGACUGUGAUCCAGAGAUCUCUGAAUGGGGAACCCAGCAGCAUAAGCUGGUUAUCUUGUACUGAAUACAUAGGUGCAAGAGGCGAACCAGGGGAACUGAAACAUCUAAGUACCCUGAGGAAAAGAAAUCAACCGAGAUUCCCUUAGUAGUGGCGAGCGAACGGGACCAGCCCUUAAGUUGGUUUGAGAUUAGUGGAACGCUCUGGAAAGUGCGGCCAUAGUGGGUGAUAGCCCGUACACGAAAAUCUCUUAUCAAUGAAAUCGAGUAGGGACGGAGCACGAGAAACUUUGUCCUGAAUAUGGGGGGACCAUCCUCCAAGGCUAAAUACUACUGACUGACCGAUAGUGAACCAGUACCGUGAGGGAAAGGCGAAAAGAACCCCGGAGAGGGGAGUGAAAUAGAACCUGAAACCGUAUGCGUACAAGCAGUGGGAGCCUACUUUGUUAGGUGACUGCGUACCUUUUGUAUAAUGGGUCAGCGACUUAUAUUCAGUGGCGAGCUUAACCGAAUAGGGGAGGCGUAGCGAAAGCGAGUCUUAAUAGGGCGUUUAGUCGCUGGGUAUAGACCCGAAACCGGGCGAUCUAUCCAUGGGCAGGUUGAAGGUUAGGUAACACUGACUGGGAGGACCGAACCGACUACCGUUGAAAAGUUAGCGGAUGACCUGUGGAUCGGAGUGAAAGGCUAAUCAAGCUCGGAGAUAGCUGGUUCUCCUCGAAAGCUAUUUAGGUAGCGCCUCAUGUAUCACUGUAGGGGGUAGAGCACUGUUUCGGCUAGGGGUCAUCCCGACUUACCAAACCGAUGCAAACUCCGAAUACCUACAAGUGCCGAGCAUGGGAGACACACGGCGGGUGCUAACGUCCGUCGUGAAAAGGGAAAACCCAGACCGUCAGCUAAGGUCCCAAAGUCAUGGUUAAGUGGGAAACGAUGUGGGAAGGCUUAGACAGCUAGGAGGUUGGCUUAGAAGCAGCCACCCUUUAAAGAAAGCGUAAUAGCUCACUAGUCGAGUCGGCCUGCGCGGAAGAUGUAACGGGGCUCAAACCAUGCACCGAAGCUACGGGUAUCAUCGUAUGAUGAUGCGGUAGAGGAGCGUUCUGUAAGCCUGUGAAAGGUGAGUUGAGAAGCUUGCUGGAGGUAUCAGAAGUGCGAAUGCUGACAUGAGUAACGACAAUGCGAGUGAAAAACUCGCACGCCGAAAAGACCAAGGUUUCCUGCGCAACGUUAAUCGACGCAGGGUUAGUCGGUCCCUAAGGCGAGGCUGAAAAGCGUAGUCGAUGGAAAAACAGGUUAAUAUUCCUGUACUUCCAGUUAUUGCGAUGGGGGACGGAGAAGGUUAGGCCAGCCUGGCGUUUGGUUGUCCAGGUUUAAGGUGGUAGGCUGAAAAUCUUAGGCAAAUCCGGGAUUUCAAGGCCGAGAGCUGAUGACGAGUUGCCUUUAGGCGACGAAGUGGUUGAUACCAUGCUUCCAAGAAAAGCUCCUAAGCUUCAGAUAACUGGGAACCGUACCCCAAACCGACACAGGUGGUUAGGUAGAGAAUACCAAGGCGCUUGAGAGAACUCGGGUGAAGAACUAGGCAAAAUGGCACCGUAACUUCGGGAGAAGGUGCGCCGGCGAGGGUGAAGGACUUGCUCCGUAAGCCCAUGCCGGUCGAAGAUACCAGGCCGCUGCGACUGUUUAUUAAAAACACAGCACUCUGCAAACACGAAAGUGGACGUAUAGGGUGUGACGCCUGCCCGGUGCCGGAAGGUUAAUUGAUGGGGUUAGCGCAAGCGAAGCUCUUGAUCGAAGCCCCGGUAAACGGCGGCCGUAACUAUAACGGUCCUAAGGUAGCGAAAUUCCUUGUCGGGUAAGUUCCGACCUGCACGAAUGGCGUAACGAUGGCGGCGCUGUCACCGAGCCAAUCUGCAGUAGCGCAUCAGCGGCACCAUGCUGUCGCCAUGCCCGCCCAGCACCAACGCCGUGAUAUCCCGUGCAGAAAACCCGGUUUGCUCGGCGAUGAAGCACUUCAUGCGCGCGGUAUCCAGCACCCCCGCCUGCCCGAACACCUUGUCGCGCCCCUGCCCGCUGACGCUCCAGGCGCGGUAGGUGAGCACAUCGACCGGGUUGGACACCACCAGCACCGUCGCUGUCGGCGCGUGGUGCUUGAUAUCCGCCAUGAUGCUGUCGAGGAUUGGCAGGUUGGUACUCAAUACAUCCUGGCGCGACUGGCCGGGCUUGCGCGGCACGCCCGCCGUGAUCACCACCAGCUCGGCCCCCUCCAGCAUCUCGGCUUUGGCCCCGCCGUGAACAUGGGUAUCGGAACCUGAAUCCACAGCCGCCUGCCAAACGUCCAGCGCCUUGCCCUGCGCCAGUUCACCCUGCACGUCCAUCAACACCAGCUCACGGCACAACUCAUCCCGGGCGAUGAUCUGCGCCGCCGCCUCGCCGACCAGGCCGGCACCCACAAUCGUUAAUUUGUUCACCAGACACCUCCCAGCGGCGCGCGCCACCAGGAACACGCCUGCGUAUAGAGAGAAGUAUUGCCUGCCAGGGCUAAAUGGCCACCCAAGACGAUGCGACGACCUUCACUUGACAGUAUUCCAUGGCAGCGCGAAUACUUUGGCCAGAUUCAUAUAGAUGACCAUACAACAAGGUGAAUCAAUCAAUGAACAUGCUGCCCAAGUGCCCCGUCGCCACACCGCCGCCCACCGGCCUCAGCGCCACGCCUCCCUGCU